UGUGGCCCAGCUACUCAAGCCUCUGGUAGUGGAACUCUGCUCUCUGCGACCUGCAAUCGCGCACGUGUCAUUUGUCUCCGGCUUCCGUCCACUCCCCACUUUUAUACUGCCGGUGACCAAGCCGUCAGGUUGCCAGGCAGCACCUCCCUGCUGAGUUUGAUCUCAGACGCGGCUGUGUCUUCCGACCCCUCACUUCUGAGGGAUUGCGGCUUUGUCCCUCCCAGAGCCUCUGCCAGAGGGUCUCCCCGAGCAAUGGCCGGUGCCGGCCGCACCCAGGAAUCCUCGAGGGACCGGGCUGCCGCCGCCGCCCAGAAACUGCAGCCGCCCCAGAAAAAGUCGACGCGAUCGUGUAGCAGCAGCGCCUCAGGGAUUCCGGGAAAUCACAACACACAUCUGGCGCCAGGCUUCACCCCCAGCGGCCUUGUUCCAGCACCAGCGGGUGCGGUUGUUCUCCGGGUCCGCUGACACCUUUGCCUGUGGCGGGGAGGGCACACAGCCUCUACCAGGUGUCCUCCCGGCAGGGGAACCGCCUCUCCCGCGUGGCUGAAGACCCCCAGACUCGACUCUGCUCCUGGGGACUCGCCCUUCCCACCAGAGCACCGCCAGGUAAUUCUUUCCCCCAGGAGGCUCCAGGAAUGCUGGGAUUUUUUUGCCGUCCUGCCGAAAGGGAAGAAGGUACCCGAAAUGCCUCGUGAAAUGGAUUCACCGAGCCCGUGCCUGGGAAGCAGCCCCGCCCGUUCCUUUUCAAGACCCAGCGCCGCCGUGGCCUGACAAUCGACUCCGUUCUGUUCCAGGCAUGCAGUAGGAACUCAUCCUGGCUUACCUAGGAUUCUGAGUGAAAGAACAGAACAUAAAGACUGUUGAGACCUGCGCUCAGCCCUGGCACUCUGAUCACUUCUACUGUAUUUUAUUGGCCAAACCAAGGCCCAAGACCAGGACAGAUUCAAGCUCCCCAGCCUCGCUGCAGUUAUUGGCAAUGUAGACACCAAGUGGUUGCGAGAAGUUCUUCUUCUUCAGGAAAAAAAAAAAUCUGUCUGGCUUCUGGCUUAGUGGUUCAGCAGAGAUGAGCGAGCCUAGCCGCGUCCAACCAAUCGUCCCUUGGCUGGGUGAACUCAACCCAGCACGCUAGUAAAAGAUGAGAGUAAUGAAGAAGUGGCAGAGC